rnacentral:rRNA from 1 species
GACGAACGCUGGCGGCGUGCCUAAUACAUGCAAGUCGAACGCAGUGGGGACGGGUGAGUAACCCGUGGUUAACCUCCCAUCAGAGGGGAUAACACUUGCAAACAGGUGCUAAACCGAUACUGAUGGAUGGACCCGCGGUGCAUUAGCUAGUGGGUGAGGUAACGGCUCACCAAGGCCACGAUGCAUAGCCGACCGGAGCGGGGGUUCGGCGACACUGGGACUGAGACACGGCCCAGACUCGUCAGGGAGGCAGCAAUAGGGAAUCUUCGGAAAUGGACGAAAGGCUGACCGAGCAACGCCGCGUGAGUUAAGAGGGUUUUCGGAACGUAAAGCACUGUUGUUAGAGAAGCGGUAGCUGACCAGAAAGCCACGGCUAACUACGUGCCAGCAGCCGCGGUAAUAC